rnacentral:rRNA from 1 species
GACGAACGCUGGCGGCGUGCUUAACACAUGCAAGUCGAACGGAAAGGCCCUGCUUUUGUGGGGUGCUCGAGUGGCGAACGGGUGAGUAACACGUGAGUAACCUGCCCUUGACUUUGGGAUAACUUCAGGAAACUGGGGCUAAUACCGGAUAGGAGCUCCUGCUGCAUGGUGGGGGUUGGAAAGUUUCGGCGGUUGGGGAUGGACUCGCGGCUUAUCAGCUUGUUGGUGGGGUAGUGGCUUACCAAGGCUUUGACGGGUAGCCGGCCUGAGAGGGUGACCGGCCACAAUGGGACUGCGAUAGGGCGCAGAAUCCUACGGGAGGCAGCAGGGGGGAAUAUUGCACAAUGGGCGGAAGCGUGAUGCAGCAACGCCGCGUGCGGGAUGACGGCCUUCGGGGUGUAAACCGCUUUCGCCUGUGACGAAGCGUGAGUGACGGUAAUGGGUAAAGAAGCACCGGCUAACUACGUG